rnacentral:snRNA from 1 species
AUCGCUUCUCGGCCUUUUGGCUAAGAUCAAGUGUAGAAAUUCAACUGGCCUGGAAUAUCCAAAACAGUCUUUAAAAAAGAGAACAAAGUUGGAGGAUUCACACUUCCUUGUUUAUAAUCUGCUACAAAGCUACAGAAAUCAAGAUAGUGUGGCACUGGCACAACAAACAAGAACACAGAUGAACACAC